GAUAUUGGGCGUAAGCGCGCGCAGGCGGUUUCUUAAGUCUGAUGUGAAAGCCCCCGGCUCAACCGGGGAGGGGCAUUGGAAACUGGCGAACUUGAGUGCGGAAGAGGGUGGCGGAAUUCCCUGUGUAGCGGUGAAAUGCGUAGAUAUGUGAAGGAACACCAGUGGCGAAGGCGACUUUCUGGUCUGUAACUGACGCUGAGGCGCGAAAGCGUGGGGAGCAAACAGGAUUAGAUACCCUGGUAGUCCACGCCGUAAACGAUGACUGCUA
rnacentral:rRNA from 1 species